UGAGGAAUAUUGGGCAAUGGGCGCAAGCCUGACCCAGCAACGCCGCGUGAAGGAAGAAGGCUUUCGGGUUGUAAACUUCUUUUCUCAGGGACGAAGCAAGUGACGGUACCUGAGGAAUAAGCCACGGCUAACUACGUGCC
rnacentral:rRNA from 1 species